UGGCGGACGGGUGAGUAACGCGUGGGUAACCUGCCUCAUACAGGGGGAUAACAGUUAGAAAUGACUGCUAAUACCGCAUAAGACCACGGAGCCGCAUGGCUCAGUGGGAAAAACUCCGGUGGUAUGAGAUGGACCCGCGUCUGAUUAGGUAGUUGGUGGGGUAACGGCCCACCAAGGCGACGAUCGGUAGCCGGACUGAGAGGUUGAACGGCCACAUUGGGACUGAGACACGGCCCAG
rnacentral:rRNA from 1 species